UACGAAGGGGGCUAGCGUUGCUCGGAAUCACUGGGCGUAAAGGGCGCGUAGGCGGCCAUUCAAGUCGGGGGUGAAAGCCUGUGGCUCAACCACAGAAUUGCCUUCGAUACUGUUUGGCUUGAGACCGGAAGAGGUCAGUGGGACUGCGAGUGUAGAGGUGAAAUUCGUAGAUAUUCGCAAGAACACCAGUGGCGAAGGCGGCUGACUGGUCCGGUUCUGACGCUGAGGCGCGAAAGCGUGGGGAGCAAACAGG
rnacentral:rRNA from 1 species